ACAUUAAGGGCUUGAUACAAAACCCACUGAAGUCAAUGGAAGUCUUUCCACUGACUUUCAGUGGGCUUUGGAUCAGGUUCUAGU
rnacentral:pre_miRNA from 1 species